rnacentral:rRNA from 1 species
GAUGAACGCUGGCGGUCUGCUUAACACAUGCAAGUCGAACGGGCUCUUCGGAGCUAGUGGCGGACGGGUGAGUAACGCGUGAGAAUCUGCCUUCAGGAGGGGGAUAACGACUGGAAACGGUCGCUAAUACCCCAUAUGCCUCCGGGUGAAAAGUAAUUCGCCUGAAGAUGAGCUCGCGUCAGAUUAGCUAGUUGGUGGGGUAAGAGCCUACCAAGGCGACGAUCUGUAGCUGGUCUGAGAGGAUGAUCAGCCACACUGGGACUGAGACACGGACCAGACUCCUACGGGAGGCAGCAGUGGGGAAUUUUCCGCAAUGGGCGCAAGCCUGACGGAGCAAGACCGCGUGGGGGAUGACGGCCUAAUGGUUGUAAACCCCUUUUCUCUGGGAAGAAGACUGACGGUACCAGAGGAAUCAGCCUCGGCUAACUCCGUGACAGCAGCCGCGGUAAUACGGAGGAGGCAAGCGUUAUCCGGAAUAAUUGGGCGUAAAGCGUCCGUAAGUGGUUAUACAAGUCUGCUGUACACAAGCGUGGGGCUUAACUCCAUAGAGGCAGUGGACACUGAGUGACU